GCAGGAGGCUCCGCCCACUGACCUGGACAUCAUCAUAGGCGAUCUGCGGAUACACAGACGCUUCUGUGCAUGUGCAGAAGAGUGCGCACACGUGCUCGCUUUGCUCACGUGUCUGCGCGGGUACAAUGCGAACCAGUAGUACAGGUGCUUCAGAGAAUAGGCGGAUCCCCUCCUUUCUGUGACAACCCCUCAAAAUAUUGGAAGACUGCUAUUAAAGACUAAGAUGAAAGAUAAGCAACUAAGAUGAAACAAUGGAGCCUUUUGAUUCCCUUGAA